GACGAACGCUGGCGGCGUGCUUAACACAUGCAAGUCGAACGGAAAGGCCCUGCUUUUGUGGGGUGCUCGAGUGGCGAACGGGUGAGUAACACGUGAGUAACCUGCCCUUGACUUUGGGAUAACUUCAGGAAACUGGGGCUAAUACCGGAUAGGAGCUCCUGCUGCAUGGUGGGGGUUGGAAAGUUUCGGCGGUUGGGGAUGUACUCGCGGCUUAUCAGCUUGUUGGUGGGGUAGUGGCUUACCAAGGCUUGGACGGGUAGCCGGCCUGAGAGGGUGACCGGCCACAUUGGGACUGAGAUACGGCCCAGACUCCUACGGGAGGCAGCAGUGGGGAAUAUUGCACAAUGGGCGGAAGCCUGAUGCAGCAACGCCGCGUGCGGGAUGACGGCCUUCGGGUUGUAAACCGCUUUCGCCUGUGACGAGGCGUGAGUGACGGUAAUGGGUAAAGAAGCACCGGCUAACUACGUG
rnacentral:rRNA from 1 species